rnacentral:lncRNA from 1 species
UUUCCCUAUUGAAAAAACGCAUUCCCGUUGGUACGAGUUCUCUCUUCCGAAAACAUAUUCUCAACAAAGCGUUUUUCUUUUUCUAUGUAUUUCAAAACUAGAGAUUCGACUGAAGUUUGACUGCCUCUAGUUUCUAAACUAUAACUCCAAAUGAGUUGAUUCUUUUUCCCACAUUUCACAAAUUUCACCUAGUUUAUUUUAGUAUUUAUUUGAAAAAUUUCCAAGCAACUUUUCAGCAUUGUUUAGAAUGGUGUGUUAAUUUGCAUAUUUUAAAAAAUAGGGAAUGAAGGGAAGAUUAAACUUUCAAAAGUUUUGGAGUGCACCCUACCUUUGUGCAUACUCAAGGCAAGCAUCUUGAACACUAAUAGGACUUGAUUGUGUGGUUGAUUGUGGUGGUGCAUGAUAUUCAUGGCUAUAGUGUUGAAUUAAACAUUUUCAUAUGGAGAUCUUUCAUGCAUAAUUGCAAAUGGUGAAAAUUUAAUUUUUGUUAAACAUGAAGUGCAUGUGAUAGUAGUCACCUUUACAUGCCACCCAUGCGUGUGCUAGCCGGAUGAAAUCAGGAGAAAUGUUAUGUCUCGGGUAGACACGACCAUGGGAUGGGUACUCCGUUAUGACGGGGAUGAUCACUCGAGGCAUGAUAGAGCAUGAUAGGAGUGACUCUGUCCGUAAUUGUGAAGAAACUAUGUUGUGCUAAUCAUGGAGGGAACACAUAAACCACUUGAGUCGACCUUAGAUCGAGUCUUGUUCCAAUAACCCCCAUGCUUGUUUCGUACUGCCACUUGAACUUGCCACAGGUAGGGUACGGUUUAGGAAGUCGUCAACCCCUUUCUUGGCACACACCGUACAGAGAGGCCAUAGUGAAAGAUACCAGUGCCCCCUGGUAGGCAUGUCACUUGGUCCGGGUAUUUCGAUCCCAUGCUAAUUGAGAUUGUGGUCUCCUCACUUAGAGUUUUACUUAACGAGUGUUGUGGGUGAUUCGAGGCAUCGGGAAGUUAAAUUGGUGUGUGCGGAUCAGGUGUAUUUUUUAUUCAAAGACCGUAAUCGGAAUUAGUUGACAUCCAUGGUUGACUAAAGAAAUCCAUUACUCGUGGGUAAAGAGUACACCCUUUGCAGAGUUUAAUAUCUAUUCGAAUAGUCGUGUGUGCGGUUAAGGACUACACUGUGGGAUAGGUUAAGUGUCGGUCUUGGAGUCAGUCUUUGGAGGAAUUAACCGAACCAUGAGGACAAUCAUGAAUCAUGAUGGAUGAUCAUUAUCAUUAUAGAAUUUGCUUUGGACUAACCUCUUCUUGUAUAUGAAUUUUUGAGUGUCCCUCGAAAGGUUCUACCUCCUCGAUACUCAUUGUUAUUAUUAUUAUCUUAUAAACCCUUUUCAUGGUGUCGCUCAUACGCCCGAUUCUCGGACACAUGUUAUUAUUUUCUUUAUAAGCCCUUUAUGUGGCAUCGGCAUGUUAUUAUUUUCUCUAUGAUCCCUUUACAUGACGUCGCUCAAACGUCCGAAUGUGGCACGCAUGUUAUUAUUUUCUCUAUGGGCCCUUUGCGUGACGUUGCUCCAGACGCACGACUGUGGCAACUCUUAUUAUUUUCAUAUAAGCCCUUUUUGUGGCAUCGUUCAGACUCCCGAUUGAAGCAUGUUUUUAUAUUUUUACCCUUUCAAGGCAUCGCUUCACACACCUGAUCGAAUCGUUCUAUUUUCUUGGAAUCUUUGGGAGCACUACAACCCGAUGUUCCAUUUUAUUUUAUUCUCAUUCUUUGAUUGCUUACUUAUUUUCAGUAUGGAUAAAUUACCUGCUUACUUGUAUCUUAUGACUGAUUUACUAUCUGUAAAUAAUUAUAGUGCAUGCAAUUCACGUGUUGUAUUGUGUCUGUUUUCAUGAUGUUUGCGAGUACAUUCAAACGUACUCACUCGCUUGUCCCUGGCUAUUGUCUUGGACAGAUUGCAUAUUUGGAGAGGAGCACUAUGACGACAACCUCCGGAACCUAGGCAUCGAAGAUAGCGGACACGCGAGAUAGGAGUUAUCCAGGUCAGUCUAUGAAUCGCUUCCGCCAUCAGCCACUAGAAACCUUUGUUGUACUCCAUAGACCAUCAUGGUCUUGUACUCCAAAUUUUGUAAAUGCUUGGAUAUUUUGUAUCAAGGAUGUGUCCAUCAGCUAACCUUGGAUAUUUUGUAUCAAGGAUGUGUCCAUCAGCUAACCUUGGUAUCAGUAAUCUCGGGGAUGGUGAGCACAAAGGUCAUUUUUUGGGAAAUUUAUAUCUCGGAAAUCCGGCCCUGAUAACCUUAGUAUCAGAGCCAGUCUAACCAUUGGCUAAUCCUAUCUUAGCCGGGUCAAUAAACCCUAGGUUACCACCCAUCCAAGCCUUAUCCUACCCAUAGCCAAGCCUAUCCUAACUGAUAGCAUGUAUAGUGAUAAUCAUCACCUUUCAGCAGCCGAUGCCCAACCGAUGAGACUAGCCGAGCGGUCACAUGCCUGUGACCAACACCUGAGUUGUCCCAUCCGCAAGUGUGCAAGAGAAGAUUAUGUUUUCUUUCUAUAAAGGAAACGUUUUCUCCAACCCACUACACCACAACCACCUUCCAAAUCCCAAACCGCCAAGAUGUCGGUCCCCGUUGUAUACAAUGAGACCACCGCAUCUGAGCUUGGAGAUUUUGUAGAUGUUCUUGCCAACCUCAGCUGUCGUGGCUUUACCAUAGAAGAGCCCCUGGAAUAUGUUGUGUACCAGCAGCACACGAGUAAUGGCAUCCAUCACUUCCGGGCAAUGGUGCACAUCUACGACAGGGGUAUCUCGCCAGAAUGCCCUUACCAGUUCACCAGAAGGACAACUUCCUAUGAGCCACAAGCCAUCCAGCUAGCAGCUCAACAGGCUAUAGUUCAAAACCGGCACGUGUCAUCGAGGGUUAACUGCCGCUCGUUUUACUACUACCCCUAGCCAUGAAAGUAAUACUAGGCCGCUCCAAAUCGCCAACGGAGACCAUGAGACGGACCCCACCCCGUUGCAUCUUGUGCGCUACAUGAGAGCACAAGAGGCACUGUUCAAGUAGGUCACCGUCGACCUGAUUGCAACUCACGGAAAGCUAGCUCGCCUCACCCCGAGAAGAAGAGAAGCUGCACCCGAUGCCACCAAACCAAUGAUGUUGUUCGGGAGAUCGAUCGAGCCCUCGAGGUCUAUGCCUGCUGCCGACCCAAAUCAUGCGUCCGUCUCCGUGGAAGAGCUCCGUCACAUUUUGGGGAUUUUCUCCAACGGGACGGUAACCACCGCACCCCGUGAUGGACAUCAUCGCUACCCCAGCCAUGUAACUCCACAUUCUACCCGAGUCGACCGCGACAUCGAAGUCCCAGAAGCCUCGACGUCCGCAAGUCCCGCCCGACUAGAUGUCAAGGAAGUAGACUAAGCCACUAGAGUAGUAACCCAAAUUUAGUAUUCCUACGCCCUGCAAUAUUGUGAGCUUGUAUUUUCAUGAGUAAAUUGCAGGACAUUUGUGUACCAUUAUUUUUAAAUAGGACCACCUGUACCUGUGUAAGUAUCUUUUGACUUCUAUCUAUAAAGAAAAAAUUGGGUGAAACAACCAGGAACCAACCUGGUCGACAACCAUAGUAAUAUGUCACAUUUAGUGAAUUAUAUGUGUGGCUUUGACCCGACCACGUUAGAGCAUAACGACAACCGAGAUCGACCACCCUGAAAUGUGUGCGCUAGCCAAACCCUAUAUAAGGAGUCACCCAAUAACCAUCCCCAGCGCCCUCACCUUGUGCAUUGCCUUCACAACCAUUUUUCCCCAUGUCGCGCCUUGGGAUUCAUUUGAGAACCCCGGGGAGUUUUGCUAAGAUAUUGUGGGAUUUUACCCACAGUGCCAUGGGUUGUCCCCACCGACCCUAGUACGAACUGUUCAAAUUAAGGAUCACUUCCACCACCACAAAAAAUUGGGCCGUUGCGCAGAUCCCACCAGUAGAUCCAAACCAAGACCCUACGAAAGUUUCCUUCAUCGGGAAAUGUAUGCCCACUCCAGAAAUGGUCAUAGAGGUUGCUGCCUGCGAAGCAAUUACCCGCCUUCAAUUUGCAGUACCCUAUGCCAGUGAAUUGGGGUAUUAUUACUUUUCGAGCCCUGUAGCACCCAGAGAAGCAGCGUCUUUUCCCAGCACCCGAGCAAAGAGAGAUUCGGUGUUAUCAAGCUUGUGCAGUAUGUCAUCGCUCAAGAGCGUUUGACCCAGCAAGUGAUGGAUUUCCUUCAUACCAUUGUUGUUAUGAAUCCUCAUAUCGCCAUUGGCAGGCCUCUAAGGCCAAACCAAGAAGGACACGUUGUGCGAGUCCUCCAUCCGCUCUCCCCGAAGGACGAAGGAUAUACCCCACUCCCGGGAAUAUUUCCUCAUGACCUAUAUUUUUUUCCUGUACCGUAGACGCCAUGGUUGUAAUCAUUAGCAUAGCUUUUGAUUGUAUGAUGUGAUAUCUGUGUUGUGUUUUAUAAUUUACUAUAUGGGUAUCUUAUGUCAAUUGCAGUUGUUUUGUUGCUAUGAUUUGAAAAUCGAUUGUUUCUUAUUGUAGCAAAUCUCAGGGUGAGAUUUUAUUAAAAGACCAGUGCGACAAAAACUUUUCCAGCAUAAAUUUAAAUUGCAUGCCCUCACGUGGUCCGGCUCACAUCCACACUAGAGUUGCACCAAUUAUUAACUUUUUCACUGUAACCACGUCACAUAGUGUGAGUAGAAUAUUUAUUCUCAUGUUAUUACUGGAUUGCAGUGGGAGUAAAGCUUUUGCUACCACCUUAGAAAAUCUCAAGGACAAGAUUUUUCUUAAGGGGGUAGAGUUUGUAACACCCCAAAAAAUUUAUCAUGUUUUUAUUAAUUAAAAUUUUGUUAGGGAUAUUAAUUUUUAUUUUCUAGAUCCUCUAUUGGUUUUAGAACCAUCCUUUUUCUUUGAAAUUAUAAAAUUUUCCCCUCCAAAUAGAAACCUUUGAAAAAUAUUGUGCGGCUUGAAUGUUUGAAUUAAAAGUAUUUCAUUUCAUUUUUAAAAAUUCAGGGAGAAAUAUUUUUAUAAUGAAGCUUGCCAAAUUUAAUUAUUUUAAUGGCCUUUUUGAAUUCUUUAAAGGGCCUCCAUUGCACUACAACCAUUUUAAUUAUUCAUUUAAAGACCCCAUAAAAAUUUGGAGAUGUCUUGUGAUGCCUAUAGAUCACUCUUAUGCAAAAACCCAUCUUGGCCUUUUGAAAAUUUUGAGCAAACCAUGCUCAUCUGAAUUAUGUUCCAGUUUAGUGGUUUGAACUGCAACCCUAUUUUAUUUUCCCAUAAUCAUCAUGAGAUAUUUCCUUCUUACAUUCCACCCUACCAACCCCUUAAGUACAUGAGUUUAGCUCCAUUGGACUAUUUUAAGCCCAUGUAAUUAACCUAUGGAGUUCCUGUCUAGAAAUGAAGUUUUGUAAAACUUGCACUAACUAGUUUCUGUUUUUCUCAAACUAACCAUGCCAUCCUCAUUAGCACCUAAAGAGGCUCCAUCAUUCUGUCGAGCACCCUGGGUGCAUGGCGGGAUUUGGCAUGCUCCUAACCUUGCCUUAGAAACUUGUUUCCCUGGCCUAACUAACAUGUCCCCUAGCCUUCCCUUGCCCAUAAACCUAGAACAGUCAAGCCUCAAUUGCAUCUGAGCCCCCUGGCGUAUCCUGGCUUUUUGUUGAACACCGGAUGCACAUGCUCGAAACACGAGAAGAGCACGCGCAUUGUGUUGGGGAACAUUGCACGGGAAACAAAAAAAUUCCUACGCUCACCAAGAUCAAUCUAGGAGAUGCACAUCUACGAGGGGAGAGAUUGUAUCUACAUAUCCUUGUAGAUCGCUAAGAGAAACCUUUAAAGAACGCGGUUGAUGUAGUUGAACGUCUUCGCGAUCCAAAUCGCAAUUCGUCCCGUGAUCCCAUCACGAUCCAUCCUGAUCUAGUGCCGAACGGACGACAUCUCCGCGUUCAGCACACGUACAACUCGAUGGCGUUCUCCGCCUCCUUGAUCCAACAAGCGAGGAAGGAGAGGUUGAUGAGUUCUCUAGCAGCGCGACGGCGUGACAGUGGUGGUGGUGUUGUUGUCCCGGCAGGGCUACACCUAGAUCUAUCGAAGCUGCGAAAACGAUCUAGGGAGAGAGAGGGGCGCCAAGGGCUUCGUGUGUCCUCUCGGGGUGCCCCUCCCCUCUAUAUAUAUAGGUGGAGGGGCGUGGGUGUGACAGCCCGAGACCGACGCCCCAGAAGAUUUCCCUUUUUAUUCCGUUGCCGUCCUGUGAUUAGGUUGUCUGUUGCAUUCAUCUUCGCAUCAUGCACAUCAUCUGCAUUGCAUCGGCACUCCGUUGCCGCCAGUUUUCAAAACUUGCAUCCGUUAUUAGUUGCGGUUCUCUUCGUUCUCGUCGUUGACCGUGUUGAGCCCGACCACACACGCACGUACCCGCGGCAUCGUUAAAAUAUUUGGUUUUAAAAGUGUGUAUAAAAUAUUUCCGGAUUGAGUCGAAACUUGGCGUGCGGUCUUAUUUUAAUAUAGGUAGGCCGCCUGCCAAUUUUCGUCGUAAUCGGAGUUCGUCUGGUACCCGAACGGUCGACCAUAGCGGCACCGUCUUCGGUUAUCGUCGGACGUUUUUCGGUUUUAAAAUAUUGUUGCCGGGUCGCACCAUUCCCAUCUCGUAUCAGCCUACACCCCUCUACACGGCCUAACCUAACCCUAGGACGUUUCCGGAGCGUCCGAUCGAGAUUGGAGAGUCCGAAAACGCCCUGAUUAGCUAACCCUAGCCCAUGUGUCUAUAAAAGACACCAAACUCUUCUUCCACCUCGGUUCCCAUGCCACCCUAACCCUAGCCGUCGCAGCCUCCUCCCACCUUCUCUCUCCUCCCAGCCGCCAGGGCCCGCCAGGCCCGCAGCAGGCCCUCCGGGGCCCGAACCACCGCUGCUAGCCCGCGCACCCAAGCGCCUUCACCCCGAGCGCUGCUCCCGCUCGGCCAUCACCGAGGCAACGCCAGCGCGUUCAGCUCCCGUCACCUCCCCACGCAGGUGCAUCACCGGACCGCCGUGCCGCCCUUGCAGCUCGUCGGAGCUCCACGAGGCCGCCUCGCCUCGCUCCUCUCCCUUCUUCUUCCUUCCUCUUCUUCUCCCUCACGACCUCUCUCUCUUCCGUGAGCCCCGACCAAAGUCCCUACGCCGCGUGGUGCCCUGCCGCCGGUGAUCCAGCCGCUGUCGGAGCCCGUCCGCCGUCGGUUCCUACUGCCGAGUUCCCCCGCACUGCCCCGCGCCAGCGCCACAGCGCCCCGCCUCCUCGAUCCAAUCGGAUAGGGACGGGUAGGAGCGCCUGGCCGUUGACCGCGCCAUGCCAGACUGCGUCCCCGUGGGCCGCCUCCCUGCCUCGCGCGCUCGACCGCGCCAGUCGCCCCCUGGGCCGGCCAGCUUGCCCCUCCGCUGGCCCAGCCGGCCUCCCCUGGUCUUGGCCCAGUCGAACCAAGCCGGCCUGCUCACCUCCUCUCCAGGCCGGCCCAGGAGCCACGGUGAGCUGAUUCCCCCCCAGCCGUCUAUUUAGCGCCCGUGCGCCGUUUAGCUAUCCCGCGCCCAUGUCCUGUUUUGGGCCUGUAGCCAGAUUCUGCCCAGUAGUAUUAUUUUAGGUUUUUUCGGAUUUAUUAUUUUCAGGAAAAGAAGUAUUUUAAAAUGGUCGCAACUUUUAAACGUGCAUCGGGUCGGAAAGAAUUAUAUAUGUAACUUGUGUAGAAUUUCACGUAGAACAUUAUUUUGCAACUUGCAUGCAUGUUUGGAGUGGUUUGACCGUCGUUUUCCUAGAAUAUAUGUGAUGUCCUAUUAGGGUUAUAUUUCCGUAGCUAUUUUUGUGCGCGUCCGGAUUGCUCAAAUUACAUCGAUAAAAUGUUCAUGUUGUUCGGGACCCUUUGCCAUGUAUUUUAGAGUAGUUGCUUGCAUUUUUUGCAUGUAGGAGCUAUCAAUAGUUUGCUAUAUCGUGUUUAGGACAUAUUCUCGCAUAUAUGUGUGACGUUAGUUUUAUUUUGCAACCCCACAUAUUAUAUAUGUUUUCAGGGUAAAAAUCCGUAUAAUUUAACUGUGCAAUUAGUUUUUCCUUUCGAGUAAGUUAGUGCGCGUGAUAUUUCUGCCAUGUUGCCCUCUUGUCUAUUUUGUGGAAUUUAUUCCGUGCAUGAUUGAUACGUCUCCAACUUAUCUACAAUUUUUGAUGGUUCCAUGCUAUUAUCUUAUCAAACUUUGGAUGUUUUGUAUGCCUUUUAUAUUUUUUUGGACUAACUUAUUAACUCAGUGCCAAGUGCCAGUUCAUGUUUUUUUCGUGUUUUUGAUCCCUUUCAGAGGAGGAUUUCAAACAGUGUCCAAACGGAAUAAAACUUCUAAAAAGAUUUUUUCGAAACAGAAGAUACGCACGGGACGUGAGAACCAAGGCAGAGGCCACCAAGGGACGCCACAAGCCCCCUAGGCGCGGCCAGGGGGCCCGCGCCUAGCAGGCUUGUGGGUCCCGUGUGGCUCGUUUGCCCUACCUCUUCCGCCUAUAAAUUCCUGAAAAAUCCAAAACUGCGCGAGAGAUCCACGAAAAUACUUUUCCGCCGCCGCAAGCUUCUGUCUCCGCAAGAUCCCAUCUAAGGCACGUUCUGGUGCCUUGCCGGAGGGGGGAUUCGGAUACAGAGGGCUUCUUCAUCAACACCAUGACCUCUCCGAUGAUGCGUGAUUAGUUCACCACAGACCUUCAGGUCCAUAGCUAGUAGCUAGAUGACUUCUUCUCUCUCUUGUAUCUUCAAUACAAAGUUCUCCAUGAUCUUCAUGGAGAUCUAUCCGAUGUAAUCUUCUUUUGUGGUGUGUUUGUCGAGAUCCGAUGAAUUGUGGAUUUAUGAUCAGAUUAUCUAUGAAUCUUAUUUGAGUUUCUUCUGAUCUCUUAUAUGCAUGAUUUCAUAUCCUUGUAAUUCUCUUCGAGUUGUGGGUUUUGUUUGGCCAACUUGAUCUAUGAUUCUUGCAAUGGGAGAAGUGCUUGGUUUUGGGUUCAUACCGUGUGGUGAUCUCACCCAGUGACAGAAGGGGUAGCGAGGCACGCAUGUGUUGUUGCCAUCAAGGGUAAAAAGAUGGCGUUUACAUCAUUGGUUUGAGUUUAUCCCUCUACAUCAUGUCAUCUUGCUUAAGGAGUUACUCUGUUCGUCAUGAACUCAACACACUAGAUGCAUGCUGGAUAGCGGUCGAUGUGUGGAGUAAUAGUAGUAGAUGCAUAAAGUAUAGGUCUACUUGUCUUGGACGUGAUGCCUACAUGUAUGAUCAUUGCCUUAGAUAUCGUCAUGAUUUUGCGCGGUUCUAUCAAUUGCUCGACAGUAAUUUUUUCACCCACCGUAAUAUUUUCUAUUUUGAGAGAAGCCUCUAGUGAACACUAUGGCCCCCGGGUCUAUUUCACACCAUAUUUUCAGCCUUUCACUUUUACUUCGUUGCACUUUCCGCCUUUAGAUCUCACUUUGCAAUCAAUCUUGAAGGGAUUGACAACCCCUUUAUAAAGUUGGGUGCAAGCUCGUUUGUGUUUGCGCAGGUACUCCGGACACUUGGCUUGAUUAUCCUACUGGAUUGAUACCUUGGUUCUCAAACUGAGCGAAAUACUUACUGCUCCUGUGCUGCAUCACCCUUUCCUCUUCAAGGGAAAAACCAACGCAAGCUCAAGAGGCAGCAGAAGGAUUUCUGGCGCCGUUGCCGGGGAUUUCUGGUGCCGUAGCAGAAGGAUUUCUGGCGCCGUUGUCUGGGAGGAUCAAGUUCUAGGUGAAGCUCAUCCAAGUAAGUGUCACAAACUCAUCUCUUGCAUUUACUUUUUUGCCUCUCGUUUUCCUCUCCCCCACUUCUGAAAAACAAAAAUUUACAAAAAUAUUUGCCUUUUUCAUUUGCCUUUCCUUUGCUCGUGUGCUAUGUGCCUUCAAUAUGCUUGCAUCUUCGCUUGCUGAAAAUCUAUUGAUAUGGAUCCUCAUUCACUUGCUAAUCUCUUUAAGAGAUCCAACUAUGUUGAACCAAUUGCUAGUGAGUUGAGUGCACUUGGCUUUCUCUAUGGAGUUUUGCUUGUGAUGCGUGAAUCUGAAAAUCGUGAUGAAGAAAUUUAUGAAGUGAUUCACGAAGGCUCCUUGAAUGAAAAGCAUCAUUGCAAUGGUUUUACUAUAAAUCCUAUUAGUGUCAAUCAUGCUAAAAAUAUGCAAAACCCUAAGCUUGGGGAUGCUAGUUUUGCUAUGUCCACUACUUGUUGCAAUGAUCAUGAUUGGGGUAAUGAUUUUUCUUAUGAUCUUGAAAAUUUGUUUAAGCCUCAUGAUGAUUAUGAUAUUUGCAAUAAUAUUGAAAGUGGGUUUGGAGAAGUCAUGACUUUAGUUGAUGAUAAUCCCACUAUUUUUGAAGAGCAUCAACUUUGCAUGCAUGUGGAUCAUAAAAAGAAUAUACUAUGUGAUAGCUAUAUUGUUGAAUUUGAACAUGAUCCCACAUGUAAUUGUUAUGAGAGAGGAAAAUAUUGUGGUAGAAACUUUCAUAUCACUAAAUCACCUCUCGUUAUGUCGAGAUUGCUAUUGUUUCUUUCUUCUUCCUUGCAUAUGGUAGUUAUUGUUUGUCUUGAUAAUUUGUUUCCCUAUAAAAUGCCUAUGCAUAGGAAGUAUGUUAGAAUUAGAUGUGAUUUUCACAUGCUUUAUGAUGCUCUCGUUGUGCUUCAAUUCUUGUCUUUUGUGUGAGCAUCAUUGAAUUAUCAAUGCCUAGCUAAGGGCGUUAAACAAUAGCGCUUGUUGGGAGUUAACCCAAUGAAUUUAUCUUUGCUUUUUGCUUUCUGUUUUGUUGUGUCCACACCAUCAUAAUUCUGUUAUGAUUAUGUCUUUUGUGUUGCUUUUUGUGUUUGAGCCAAGCAAAACCUUUACGACUAGUUUGGUGAUGGUUGUUUGAUCCUGCUGGAAAAAGACAGAAACUUUUCGCUCACGAAAUUAUUUUUAAUUUUUAUCCAGAAAGAGCUUUUGAGUUGAUUUUUUUGCUGCUGGUUGAUAUGCCUUUUUCCCAGGCGGUCGUAAUUUUUCAGAAUUUUUGAGAUACCAUAAGUAUACGAAGUAUACAGAUUGAUACAGACUGGUCUGUUUUUUACAGAUUCUGUUUUUUGUUGUGUUGGUUGCUUGUUUUGAUGAAACUAUGGAUAGUAUCGGGGGGUACUAGCCAUGGAAAAGUGAGAAUACAGUAAUAUAACACCAAUAUAAAUAGAAAUCAAGUUUUCUACAGUACCUAAAGAGGUGGUAGUUUGUUUUCUUGUGCUAAUGAUAUCACGAAUUUCUGUUUAAGUUUUGUGUUGUGAAGUUUUCAAGUUUUGGGUGAUGUUCUCAUGGACAAAGGGAUAAAGAGUGGAAAGAUCUCAAGCUUGGGGAUGCCCAAGGCAUCCCAAGCCAAAUUCAAGGACACCAAAAAGCCUAAGCUUGGGGAUGCCCCGGGAAGGCAUCCCCUCUUUCGUCUUCAAUCCAUCGGUAACACUACUUGGAGCUAUAUUUUUAUUCACCUCAUGAUAUGUGUUUUGCUUGGAGCGUCUUGUAUCGUAGGAGUAUUUUCUUUUUGUUGUGUCACAAUCAUCCUUGCUGCACACCUUUUGAGAGAGACAUGCAGUCGUCGUGAAUUUGCUACAAUACUCUUUGUGCUUCACUUAUAUCUUUUGAGCUAGACAAUUUUGCUCUAUGUGCUUCACUUAGAUCUUUUAGAGCACGGCGGUGCGUAACUUGGUAGUUGGCUGUGCUAUGAAAGUAGUCCCAAAGGUGAUAGGUACCCAAAGAGGAUACAACAAAACUUCCAUCUUCAUGUGCAUUGAGUAGAAACAGAAGUUUGAUUCCUCUCAAUUAGUUUUGAGAUGUGGAUUUGGUAAUAUUAAGAUUUAUGUUAGUAGGGUGUUGUGAAUAUAGAAAUACUUGUGUUGAAGUUAGUGAUUCCCGUAACAUGCACGUAUGGUGAACCGCUAUGUUAGGAAGUCAGAGCAUAAUUGAUCUAUUGAUUGUCAUCCUUUGUGUUGCGGCUGGGGUCGCGCGAUGGUUUACACCUACCAACCCUUCCCCUAGGAGUAUGCGUUUAGCACUUUGUUUCGAUUACUAAUAAAAACUUUCGCAAUAAGUAUGUGAGUUCUUCAUGACUAAUGUGAGUCCAUGGUAUAGAUGCACUUUCACCUUCCACCAUUGCUAGCCUCUCUAGUACCGCGCAAUUUUUGCCGGUGCACAAACCCACCAUAUGCCUUCCUCAAAACAGCCACCAUACCUACCUACUAUGGCAUUUUUAUAGCCAUUCCGAGAUAUAUUGCCAUGCAACUCCCAUCGUUCCGUCUCAUGACUUGUGCCGUCACUCUCAUAUUGCCAUUGCAUGAUCGUAAGAUAGCUAGCGAGAUGUUUCAACGUCAUACGCCAAGCUAGAUCGUUGCACAUCCCGGUACACCACCGGAGGCAUUUCCUAUAGAGUCAUCAUCGUUCUAAGCUUUGAGCUGUGAGUCAAUAAAAGUGUGAUGACCAUCAUUAUUAGAGCAUUGUCUCAUGUGAGGAAAUAAAAAAAGGAGGCCAAAGUUGCCCACAGAAAAAAAGAUAUGGAAAGAGGCCAAAGAGCCCCAAAAAAAGAGAGAAAAAGAGAGAAGGGACAAUGCUACUAUCUCUUUCCACACUUGUGCUUCAUAAUAGGACCAUGUUCUUCAUGAUUGAGAGUCUCUUGUUUUGUCACCACCAUAUGCUAGUGGGAAUUUUCAUUAUAUAACUUGGCUUGUAUAUUCCAAUGAUGGGCUUCCUCAAAAUUGCCCUAGGUCUUCAUGAGCAAGCAAGUUGGAUGCACACCCACUAAUUCUCUUUUUGAGCUUUCACAUACUUAUAGCUAUAGUGCAUCCAUUGUAUGGCAAUCCCUACUCAUUCACAUUGAUAUCUAUUAAUGGGCAUCUCCAUAGCCCUUUGAUACGCCGAGUCAAUGUGACCAUCUCCUUCUUUUUGUCUCACAACCUCCACCACACUCUAUUCCACCAUAGUGCUAUAUCCAUGGCUCGCGCUCAUGUAUUGCGUGAGAGUUGAAAAAGGUUUGAGAAAGUAAGAGUGCGAAAACAAUUACUUGGCCAAUACCGGGGUUGUGCAUGAUUUAAAUUAGUUGUGUGGGGAUGAUGGAGCAUAGCCAGACUAUAUGAUUUUGUAGGGAUAACUUUCUUUGGCCUUGUUAUUUCGAAAGUUCAUGAUUACCUUGCUAGUUUGCUUGAGGUAUUAUUGAUUUCAUGUCAAUAGCAAACUAUUGUUUUGAAUCUUAUGGAUCUGAACAUUCAUGUCACAUGAAAGAUGUUACAAAGGACAACUAUGCUAGGUAGCAUUCCACAUCAAAAAUUCAGUCUUUAUCACUUCCCUACUCGAGGACGAGCAAGAGUUAAGCUUGGGGAUGCUUGAUACGUCUCCAAUGUAUCUAUAAUUUUUGAUGGUUCCAUGCUAUUAUCUUGUCAAACUUUGGAUGUUUUGUAUGCCUUUUAUAUCUUUUUGGGACUAACUUAUUAACUCAGUGCCAAGUGCGAGUUCAUGUUUUUUCCGUAUUUUGACCCCUUUCACAGGAGGAUUUUAAAUGGUGUCCAAACGGAAUUAAACGUCCGAAAAGAUUUUUUCCGAAACAGAAGAUACGCACGGGACGUGAAAACCAAGGCAGAGGCCACCAUUGGACGCCACAAGCCCCCUAGGCGCGGCCAGGGGGGCCGCGCCUAGCAGGCUUGUGGGCCCUGUGUGGCUCGUCUGCCCUACCUCUUCCUCCUAUAAAUUCGUGAAAAAUCCAAAACUGUGCGAGAGAUCCACGAAAAUACUUUUCUGCCACUGCAAGCUUCUGUCUCCGCAAGAUCCCAGCUGGGGCACGUUCUGGUGCCCUGCCGGAGGGGGGGUUCGGAUACGGAGGGCUUCUUCAUUAACACCAUGACCUCUCCGAUGAUGCUUGAGUAGUUCACCAUAGAUCUUCGGGUCCAUAUCUAGUAGCUAGAUGGCUUCUUCUCUCUCUUGGAUCUUCAAUACAAAGUUCUUCAUGAUCUUCAUGCAGAUCUAUCCGAUGUAAUCUUCUUUUGCGGUGUGUUUGUUGAGAUCCGAUGAAUUGUGGAUUUACGAUCAGAUUAUCUAUGAAUCUUAUUUGAGUUUCUUCUGAUCUCUUAUAUGCAUGAUUUCAUAUCCUU